UCGCGAAAAGCCCUCUUCAAAGAAUCGUCCAUUUGUCCUUAUCUAGUGGAAUAUCGACACGAUAACACGUCGUGUCUGUACAAAUAGCACUUUUUGCCAAAAGCACCACAGGCAGGCCCCAAUAACAAACUUGUUUCUUUCAAACAAAAUACGAAGAAAGGAUGCUCUUCUAUCAGCGUCAAGAUGUCUUACAGCAGAAAAUAUGCCUGCGGCGGCUGUUUUGCCAGGCAUCAUAUGUAGCCUAGAGCUUCCUUUGUGAGAAGCCUCGAAGAGACGUGUAGCGCGUGCUUCUCCGAACCGGCCACGAAACAAGAAGGAAAAUACCCUUGUCUGGAUGCUUCUAAAAGCGGUGUGACGCUUCGGAAAACUCUACAGUAUGGUGCGAUCGUGGCUCACCCUCGAAAAAGUGGCCCCUUUUUGUCACCAAGCGUGGCCUGACUUUUGGGAGUCCUCCAACGUUCUUCUCAUAUAACAACAAGUGUUGUCGAGCGAAAAAGGCACAAGGUCGGCAACCCAACUAUGGCCUCUCUCCAUCGGCGCCGAAUCCUUCUACGUUUUCGACGUCAUCGUCAUGAUAGUUGCCCUCCUUCCCCACGAGGAAUGACAAAUAAAAAGAAAGAUGCAUAAAGAUCGGUUUGCUCAAUCGAAUGAGCAAGGAAAGCAGGUUUGUUUAUGGGACCAACGAGAACUGCAAAAGUGCAAAGUAUGCACAAUGCAUGGCAUUAGGAGUAAAAGUAAUGGUAUAACAGUUAGGUAAAAUCAAACGGAGUCGUAAAGAGAGUAACAACUGGCUAAAAUAAAAUCACAUUAUGCUUUCGUGCAGGGGAUAAUAGAGCCUACCACAUGGUCGAGUGGCCUUCUCUAGGUCGCUAUCUUCCAGUACCCCGCGCCCACGUUCUCUUAUUUUCAUGGCUACUUAUUUCAGUCUGUAUUCUGUUCUUUUGCUCUCAUCCUCUCGAGAAUAUGGCGCGCGCCUCGUCUUCGACUUCCCCUACAUCAGCCCUCUGUUCGCCCUCGUUCAUCCAACCUCAACGACGUCCACUAGCCUUCUCUUGGUAUCUUCACUGUUUUGUCCGCCUGCAGCCUGCUGAAACUCUAUUGGCCACCGACUAUUCACUAGACCUUCCCAGUUCUGCGGUGCUCUUUUCCCCCCAUUGAAACCUUUUCGUUCUUACACUCAUCUGGCUUCCAAAAGGGCCUGGAACGAACUACGCGAUCUCCUCUUCAGCCUGGGUUAGAGUGUGGAAGCAGCUCUUCUCGAAUUAAAUAAAGUGGGCGUAGCAUUCCAUCCGCCGUCCAGCUCAAGUCAUUUUGACUCUUUCCCAAAGCAGCAGAGCCUGAGCUAUAGCAAGGAGUCCAACGGCCUCUUCUUUCGCGGCAGCUGCACUUGCUCCGUUUCAGUUCUCACGCAAGUUACAGCACUUCAUUUUACGCGCAUCCAGCACCAGGGGGCAUGGUUUCUGGCCCGUUCGGCAACCCUUUUCCAGUCUACCGCGAAGAAAGCUCUACUGUUCCGAAAGACCACGUGCACGGCCGCUACCGAUCUCACUCCAUCAGGAACGAACAUAGCUUGCGCCGCCCUUAAUAACAACUUCAAACGGGAGGCGAUUUCAGAGAAUUCUUUCUCAGCUGACAGCAUCCGACAGAGCGUGUUUAUAUGGAAAUCAAGUAAUGUGGUCUGGAACGCAAAGCCAAAUGGAAGCGCCGAAAGACGGAGCUUAGAGCAGUGAAUUAAGCUCAAAAGCAUCGGCUAAUCCCACGUGGUAGGAAUGUUUUUUAAUUGCAUUUUAAAUGUCUUUUUGAAUGGCAUUAGGAAAGCCUGAUAUUAUUUCCGAGUUACGAUGAUGAUGUUGUGUGUGUUUAAAACGCAACACCGACUUUCUGUUAGAGAGCGCUAGAAUGCUAAUACCUUAAAAACAUAGGAGUGUUUUUACUUAGCAUGCCUUAGCUUGAAGUGUGUUCUAAACGGUCUACCGAUCUUAAUGAUCUUGUAUUCGUCCACAGGGCUGAAUUAGUUACGGUUCAACUCCUAGCAAUGAUUGUAUAUCUACCAAGUGGGGCCCCGUUACAGCAGGCUUAAACGCGUUUUGUAAGAUAGGGUCGUUGAAACAGAAUGCUCGCAACCCGGGAACAGAUAAAGGUUGUUCCAAGAGUUAGCCAGAGGCCAUAGAUAUCUACUUUAGUUCCACAUUCUAAGGAUACUAAGCUAAUCCGCUUAAAUAUUUUCUAAAGAGGAUACUCUUAAAUUACCGCUAAGAGUCCAACCCUAAGUCAAAUACAUAUAUAUGCCUCUUAUUCAUGUGGUUGAAAGCCAUUUUCCGAUAGUAUAGCUUUCCUAAUGCAUAUAAAUGGCGCAAUUACUUCUGAACAAGUUUGAUUAGUGCAGUAUUAAUACCCGCUAUUCAAUGAAAGCAGCUUUUUCCGGCGUGAUACCUUUAACGUAUUAUUGUAGAAACCUGCACGCAUAUAUAGAUACAACUGUUUGGUACUGGUAACGUUUGUGUAAUGACCCGAGAUGACCCAAACAAUGUAUUCACGUAUGCAUCGAAUUCUCCACGGGCAAUUGUUAUGUACGCCUUUUACUCUUUAGCUACAUUCACCAUCAAUAAGUGAAUACAGUUAAAGAGUAGAAUAUUCAUCCCGCAUUACCCACUACCUCUUUCUCAUAUACGGCACUAUCAGUUGCUCCUUUUAAUCACUUUAAACUCGCAACAAAAGCCGCAGGAGACAUCUGUCUGUCGUGUUCACUGUUUAACUGCCAUACCGGCAACGCUACCACAAUUUCUCUUCUUGUCGUCAAUGGCCGUAUCGGUAAGUGUCCGAAAUCGACAUAAGGCAAUAACAAAGCCGAUGAUAACCGCAACAGAAGCGAAGGCCGAGAAGGGCACCAACAGUAGGCUCGUCUACUCCACGCAGAAUACGUCUGGUACGUAUUUAAUGUGGGACAACAGACACUUUUUGCGGCGUGGCGUCGCAAAGUGAGAAAGCAGCAAAAAGGUGGCAUAGGUGCCAUUCGGCAUAUUGUCUGAGUAGUGGUUGGCCUGCCAUAGCCCAGCUAGUUUUCGUUAAGUGAAUUCGGUUACGAAGUAGUAAACACCUUGAGCUUGAAUUUCGCAUCUUUCGCCGGCACUUAGCCUUGCCUAGCUGGGUUCUUUCUCCAAUUAUUCAGAAGAUCGCCCUUAUUUUCUUAAUAUCUAGGUAAAGUAGAAACUUUCCUUCGAGUGAGACAAUGCCCUCGCAUGACUUCCGCUGUGCCAUCAGAUUGGUGACGAAAACGGCGACGUAUCAUGUAUAUGCCGCUCCCACAAAAACGCCAAAUAUCACGUUGGGCCGGGAGAAGCGACAAAGACUGUACAUCGAGCCUUGUCAGUCUGCCUUGACGGCCGUCGCCUGUGCUUAUCCGUUGGGGACCGCAACGACACGACACGGGGCACUCGAGCUGUCCUACUCCGAGCAAAUAAUGCUCGCUAGCUUCGAACGUUAAGCCACAGCAACAGCAGCUUCGAAUUAAAGAUCUACAUAAACGUUUGUUGUGCGAAUCAACAAAAGAUCUAGUCCAGUUGGCACUUAACAGUUAGUUCUAUAGUUUGUGUUAUUUCACUUUGUAUAGUAUAUGUACUGUGGUACUUCCGCACCUUAGUCAAUGUUUUUGUCUAUUUAGUUUGUUAAUACAGCGAUUUUGGUGACGCUGCAUAGCUAUCCGAUUAUGUGUAUGAAAUCGACAGAGGACCGUGAUAAAGAGCUGAAGGGAGAAGUCGAGUGCGUAAAAGAGGGCACGCGCGCGAUUCAAACAGCAACAAUGGAAAGCUUUUUACAGGAAGUUACUGCGUCAGUGACAAUAGCUACAAACCAGCAGUUUCAUAUCGUUUCUCACGCCUCGACCAGUGGUUAUGAUGCUGUUUUUGUCGGUGCUACGGGGGUCAGCGUGGCAACGACCGGUGGAAUAAGAGCAGUCAAAUAAUGUUACUUUGUGUGUUUCCACAGCCUAUUGCGCUUUCUUGCUGAAGUAUUCCAGUUACUUUGCCGCCCUCGAAGCAGGGUUUGCCCUUUGUUGUUGCGGAAAUUAGGCGAAUUAAAUCGAAUUCACUGAAAACUGCCAUCACCUUUUGAAUCAGCAAAUGUCCAGCAGGAACCCCUGAUUAAACAGCGGACUGACUGACUGAGACGAAUCUACACGCAGCAAAGGACAACACUGUGUCUGCGGUUACAAUAAUGUUCUGAACAAAAGGAUCUAAUUGUUAUGACAGAUACCGUCAGACCUCAGUCAGUUCAGAGAUGAUGAAGAUUAAGAGAUGAUGAAGAAGACCAUGAGUGGGCUACCAAUUUGUAUAUAUUCUUUGUUUUGCCGUCCGAAGCUAUCUCGAAAAUAGCGUGUUCUCUCAUGGCAAUGCAUCUUUUAGUCGUACUUUACAAAAAGUAUUUGCAUAAAUUUAGAUCAUUUGGUUAAAUUGAAAUUAUUUUUCCAAUUUUUUCCAUAUUAAUUAACACUGCCAUCGUUACCAUCGAUGCUCGUGUUUACCAAUAGAGUUUGGCUCUUUUUCGCUCCAUAUUUACCUUGGAAACGGACAAAAUAAGACCAUGUAAAGACAACGUUGACCGAGCUGAUACGGAAGAGUAGUGACCGUUCAAGCCACCACAUAAACGCCUACGUCAGUAUCUAAAGUAAUCAUAUGAUAUUAACACGAGGCCGCACGAUUGAGACAACAGUAGUUACAGAACAAGGCAAAAGAAAAUAUAUUUCUUCAAUACAUUUUCAUGCCAUAAAAACUAAUGUCCUUUUUGAAGACCACAUGGCAUAUCCAAGUUAUCGAUGAUGGUAAUUUAGGAGAAAAAAACUGUCUCCUGCAUUCCUCCUGCAAAACCUCCUGCAUUGACGAAAACUUUCAAACAUUUAGGUCACUGGCUGUUGACAGAUAUUUUUGUUCUGCUUAUCAUGUUCUGAAAAGGGUCGCAGCACAAAUGUUCCUUCAGAUUGUAAGGGUACAAUAACAUUUGCAACAGAUCUGUAUGUUGAAGCAAAAAUGCCUACUAUUUUGGCCAGAUGGAAACAUUAGGAUUGGUGGAAAAGGUACACUGCUCUCAUCGGAAACACACUGUAUCAGUGUAUUUACAAAUCGAGGUCAAUUUUGAAUUUAUAAUUACGGUCACUGUACUCAAAAAGCGCCAAUUUCAGUUGGCUAUGUUUUGCGUGUUCCGUAUUCUGGAACAUCUACGCGUUCGGACUCGAUAAAAGGGCCAGCUAAAAACAGAUGAUCUUUCAGAACUUCUACCGACAUAUCACAUUGUUUACAUGCAACCGCUUCAGUUUUUCGUAUGCAGGACAUCUAAGCGUUAUUGCGUUAGUCCACAGUGCAAGUAGAUAGGUUCGGCGAACUUCGCAGUUCCUGUUUCUGUGGCUUCUAUAGCUGAGGACGUGACGGUCACCAGGGGCAGAAUGAAACGCCCCAUUGCCCAACACAGACGCGUGACCUCGCAGAAUCCACAGUCUGCAAGCGCCGGCCACACGAGUUAGACCAGAAUCAAAACCUGAUCCACGUUGCCAGACAAUCUGAUAAUCGGACAUAUAAGAUAUGAAAGAUAGAAAGAAACAAAUAAACGUUUUUAAUUUAAUGAAAGCGUCGCAGAACGUUUAAUCGUAGCAGACAAUGCAACAUUUAAACUAGGGCGGUGUCCAUUUCGCUCGUUUGCCUUAUGACGUUUGCGUCAUUCUCAACCGCGAACCCUUCGUAUAAUAAUAAAUAUUUCGUAAAUCAAUUGUAUUUAUUGGCGGCAGAAAAGGAAUCGCAGCAUUUUUGUUGUUUAGUGGGAAUGGCUUUUACUGAAAGAGUGAUUCUAUCUACAACGCAAAAAAGAACAACAAAUGGCAGAAUCACAGUGGCAGAAUUUCUUCUUUAAGUUACACUAUAUAUAAUUCAAGCUUCUGUAUUUGUAUCACUUUGGUUCGCUGUAUACACAUGGCAAACUCUUUCGGCGUUAGUGUUUCAUGUUGUGACAAUCGUGAUGUUUGCCUCUAUCGACCAAAUCGCUACCAUCGUUAUUGUUAUCGCUAAUGUUUUGUUAGUGGCGAUUACAGUUAUUGUUGGCGUCGACAGUUCCUAGGGCUCACCGUUGGCGCUGUCCGAGCGAAGUACAUUGUCCAUGCAUGUUCUGAACUGGGAAGGCAAGUUUUUGUCGGAAAUUGCUAUUGCCAGUGGUUAUGUAUUUUGGCCGAAGUUAAUAAAUCAUGCCUGGUACCAAUUUCUGUAUAAUAGUGAAAUGAACUAUUAUUGCUAGUAUUAAAAAAAAAAAACCUCUAUAAUCAUUACGAUGACAACAAUAAUUAUUAGUUCAAUGUCAGUAUUUUUGUUGCUUGGAAUGUACUGUACGGAGCGUUUCGGUAACGUACAUCUGCAGACAUUUUCUUUCUUUUUUUGAUUCAUUUUCGAUCCUACGAUCAAUGACAAGGAUACAUGUCGCAGCAUUUUAAAUGUCGUCGAUCACUAGGGCGGUUAGAGCACGUUUCUAUACAUCUCGAUGGCUAGCCAAUGCUGUACUUAAUUGUUCAUCGCCAUGCGACGGGUGCCGCGGGAACGUCACAUAACACCAGGACGACAAAUAGUUCGACGAAACUUUGGACUAUGAGACACUUGCGUGUUAUUAAAACAUCCGCUGUGACCGA
rnacentral:lncRNA from 1 species